GUAGCCGGUGGAGACAGCAGAUCGGUCGGCUGGCGUUUUAUAAUUACGAUGAGGCGAUGCCACCUUGUUUCGGUCAUCAAACUCACCUCGGUUACACUGGGAAUUAGGAAUUACGAUUACUGAAGUUGAUAACUGCGCUCUCAUUUAUUCAUCAUAUUCCCAUAAACAACGAGAGACUUGCAAGAUCUAUUGUAUACGAAUUAUCGACCCGCUGAAAAGACACUGACUGCUAACAUUUAUUUCGCGUAGGAGAAACAUACUUUCCACCGGGGAAAAAAAAAAAACAUGUUUACAAAGGUGAAAUUCUUUUGGCGUUAUAGUUGAAGUAGCCUUGCUGUAGGCUGAGCUGCCAGCCCCCCGUAAGACCACCCAAACCACUGAGCUGUUACCCAGACUAGACUGACGCACAAAUCGGGGAAGAACCACUAACUUAAAGAGGUCUGGCGCAGAUUAGCAAACCAUCCUUUAAAACAAGUUCAGCGUUUCAUUUUUUUGUCUGAUUAUUCAUGCACUUCGCGUACAUCUUAAUAUCAACUUUGAGAGAAGAAAAGUGUCCGAUAAACCGGACACCGGCACUUUAAAGGCGGCCCCGUGAGCGCAUGUGAAAUAGCCCGCAGAAAAGAGAAGAACUGACUGGGAGGAAUAUAAAGACAGUAUAAAGAUAUUUUGGUAACAGGUGGGGGCGCUCUAAUUACCCUUGGGGACAUGUGAUUCUGUACGUUCGUGUCAUGCUGUGCGACCUAUCACAUCAGCAAACUCCAAAACAAAGUCGCAUCACCUAUUUCAUCCAGUUUGGAGAUGAACUGCUCGUUGUGAACUGUCGUCAAGGUGCUGCCUGGCUAUUGUCGAGUCCAGCAACAGCCGAGUGUGUGCGGUUCUGGCUGCAGUGGAGCCUGUUUGUGUGCGUGCGUGACCCUGCCGGACUGCUGCUCAUCCAUUCAACGGCACAGCUCAUCUGAGGAGAGAUCUCAUGGAACGUGAGCUCAAACACAUUUCUUAGUCACCUCUAUCCCAGCCUCGCUCCUCUUCAGCAGUGUGUACAGGGUGUACCAGCAGGACUGAGGGCCUCAUAGUGCAAGCAGGAGAAGAAUACAUAUGAAUUUACAUGAAGAUUCACCCUUUUUGAAAAAUACUGUUACAAUUUUAGCUCAAUGCUUAAUUUUACCAAAUACAAGAUAUUAGGAAAUAUUCAAAUUCUGUAGAGUCUAAAUGAUGUUUCCUGUUUCUCCUCUAGACCUCAGUAGAAGUCUACAGCUUUCUGAGCAAAAGCCCGUGUCAUCAUUUAUCAUUUCUUUCCUCGGGUUCUUUAAACACAUGACACAGUUAAGAUUUGCCAAGACAUAAAACUAUAACACAUGAAAAAUUAUUUGCUCUGAGGUAGGCAAUAUAAAAACCUAGCUAAAUCUCUCAUGUUACCUCACAGCAAUUUAGUGCAACCAUUGACAGGCAAACUCCCUUUUUACAUUCCUGUUACUGCAUGUGUCAGAUGCCAAUAUGUGAUUUCCCUCCAAUAAAGGUCUCUGUGAGGAGCACUAAAGGCUUUGUGUGUGGUUCUG
ensembl:lncRNA